rnacentral:rRNA from 1 species
GGAUGCGAUCAUACCAGCACUAAAGCAUCGGAUCCCAUCAGAACUCCGAAGUUAAGCGUGCUUGGGCAAGAAUAGUACUAGGAUGGGUGACCUCCUGGGAAGUCCUCGUGUUGCAUUCC